rnacentral:rRNA from 1 species
ACGAACGCUGGCGGCGCGCCUAACACAUGCAAGUCGAACGGAAAGGCCUGCUUUCCCUUGUGGAUUGCGGGUACUCGAGUGGCGAACGGGUGAGUAACACGUGAGUGAUCUGCCCCCAACUUGGGUAUAAGCCUGGGAAACUGGGUCUAAUUCCCGAUAGGACUGCAGGGUGGUGCCUGUGGUGGAAAACGAUUUUCUAGUGGUUGGGGAUGAGCUCGCGGCCUAUCAGCUUGUUGGUGGGGUAAUGGCCUACCAAGGCGGCGACGGGUAGCCGGCCUGAGAGGGUGGACGGCCACAUUGGGACUGAGAUACGGCCCAGACUCCUACGGGAGGCAGCAGUGGGGAAUAUUGCACAAUGGGCGGAAGCCUGAUGCAGCGACGCCGCGUGGGGGAUGACGGCCUUCGGGUUGUAAACUCCUUUCGACCGCGAGGAAGCCACCUGGUUGGAAGGGUGGUGACGGUAGUGGUAGAAGAAGCACCGGCUAACUACGUG